rnacentral:rRNA from 1 species
GAUGAACGCUGGCGGCGUGCCUAAUACAUGCAAGUCGAGCGAACGGACGAGAAGCUUGCUUCUCUGAUGUUAGCGGCGGACGGGUGAGUAACACGUGGAUAACCUACCUAUAAGACUGGGAUAACUUCGGGAAACCGGAGCUAAUACCGGAUGAUACUUUGAACCGCAUGGUUCAAAAGUGAAAGACGGUCUUGCUGUCACUUAUAGAUGGAUCCGCGCUGCAUUAGCUAGUUGGUAAGGUAACGGCUUACCAAGGCAACGAUGCAUAGCCGACCUGAGAGGGUGAUCGGCCACACUGGAACUGAGACACGGUCCAGACUCCUACGGGAGGCAGCAGUAGGGAAUCUUCCGCAAUGGGCGAAAGCCUGACGGAGCAACGCCGCGUGAGUGAUGAAGGUCUUCGGAUCGUAAAACUCUGUUAUUGGGGAAGAACAUAUGUGUAAGUAACUGUGCACGUCUUGACGGUACCUAAUCAGAAAGCCACGGCUAACUACGUG